UACAGAGGGGGCAAGCGUUGUUCGGAAUUACUGGGCGUAAAGGGCGCGUAGGCGGCCUACUAAGUCGGACGUGAAAUCCCUCGGCUCAACCGGGGAACUGCGUCCGAUACUGGUGGGCUCGAAUCCGGGAGAGGGAUGUGGAAUUCCAGGUGUAGCGGUGAAAUGCGUAGAUAUCUGGAGGAACACCGGUGGCGAAGGCGGCAUCCUGGACCGGUAUUGACGCUGAUGCGCGAAAGCCAGGGGAGCAAACGGG
rnacentral:rRNA from 1 species